UGGGGAAUAUUGCACAAUGGGCGCAAGCCUGAUGCAGCCAUGCCGCGUGUAUGAAGAAGGCCUUCGGGUUGUAAAGUACUUUCAGCGGGGAGGAAGGGAGUAAAGUUAAUACCUUUGCUCAUUGACGUUACCCGCAGAAGAAGCACCGGCUAACUCCGUGCCAGCAGCCGCGGUAAUACGGAGGGUGCAAGCGUUAAUCGGAAUUACUGGGCGUAAAGCGCACGCAGGCGGUUUGUUAAGUCAGAUGUGAAAUCCCCGGGCUCAACCUGGGAACUGCAACUGAUACUGGCAAGCUUGAGUCUCGUAGAGGGGGGUAGAAUUCCAGGUGUAGCGGUGAAAUGCGUAGAGAUCUGGAGGAAUACCGGUGGCGAAGGCGGCCCCCUGGGCGAAGACUGACGCUCAGGUGCGAAAGCGUGGGGAGCAAACAGG
rnacentral:rRNA from 1 species